GCAGCACCCAGACACCCCUCCCCCAGCGCCCUCACCUUCUGCCUUCGGGGGUCACCUGAUCCCGACAGGAUCUAGUCAAGCCCUGCUCGCCAAAAGACGGCGUCGGCGCGACAGCUGCAUCCCGUCCCCCCUCCCCCAGCGGCUGUACCCGCUGCCGCCCCGACCAAAUCACAUCCCCGGCGGAGUACGCGCCGGAUCGGCCGAUGGGGAGGGCCGUCGCUACCAUGUCUCCCCUCCAGAUGGCCUUCUUGCGACGACCAGCUGCUGGUGAUUUGGCCGUGACGGUGAGCCCAACCUCGGAUCUGUCCAUGACGGUUAACCCCCGGAUCUGUCUCCAUCUUCCUCCCCCUCCAUUGGUUGCUGGCCGUGACGGUGAGCCCAACCUCGGAGAGGAAGGAGCAUGAGCUGCGGCAGAGUAAGCCCCCGCAGCUGUGGCUCUGCCCCGGUCGAUCCAAGGGCUCCCGUGUAGUCCACUACCUCGGUGCACGCAGCACGUCAGCACCCCCCCCUCGUGAGAUUCGACGGGCUGUAGGUCGUCGCUUGCCGCCGUGAGGUCGGCUUCCGAGCGGCAUGGCACAGUGCCACAAGUUCCCCUCCCUUCGUCACCUCCACCUCCAUGGCCGGUCCCCGGAUUUCACUAUGGAAAAAAUGCGCCAAGUUUCCUGGAGUUGGCUCAAUUCCUCUCCCCCGACGAGGAGUCCGUGCUCCCCUACCCGAACCACGCAUCCAGGAGCUCCUCCCGGCCCACGGCGAUCUCCUGUGCGCGGCACCACCACUCUUCCUUCGAAUCAAGGCAUAAAGUUUCGAGCAUGUGAACAAGCAGUGCAAAUGGUGCAUUUUUUGUUUGAGAAUUUUGUGUAUAAAAAUUACAGGGACUCAUUUUGUGUUUGGGAUGAGACUAUUCAAAUAAUGUAGUUUGAAGUAUGUGCACAUGCAGUGCAGUC